UAUUUUCCCUAUAAAAGAAACGAUCGCUUCUUUUAAUGCUCUUAAACAGUUCCUCUCUUAAUUCUUAUCGCAAAUCUUCUCUUCCUUAUAGGGUCUUCUUCUUCUCCUCUUCUUCCUCCCCUUGCCCAAGCUUCUAAGAGUUCUCGACUAUAUAUCUAAUCUUCUAAUCCUUAUUAUGGCUAUGUCAUGAUUGGCUUUGGAGAUAUUCUCUUUCCAGGGUAAUCAGAAUGAAUUUGGAAGAAAACAGUUCUCAGUUGAAUCUUGAAAUUCGAAAGCUUGCAUGCAGAUCCAGGUGCCUCAGAGGCCGAGUGCGAGCUUUUCAGUCGUUCAGCAAUUGCCGGGGAUUUCGAGGUAGCUGCAUGGCGUUCGCAGUCCUGAUUUCUCCCUUCUAUCUUAUUACUUUUCCGCAUUCCUAGACUAUCUAUGUAGUAGGUUGUUCAGACUUGUAUUAGAGGCUCUAGACUUGCGACACCAGAUCAGUGUGGGCCGUGUAGUUUCUAUGUCUUGUUGACUUCCGCGUAUCUAUCUUGCUAUUUUAAAACACUUAUUAUGAUAAUUGGUAAUUAAACCGUGUUAGCAAA